rnacentral:tRNA from 1 species
GCCUCAGUGGUGGAAUUGGUAGACACGCUAGACUUAGGAUCUAGUGCUAACGCGUGGGGGUUCGAGUCCCUCCUGAGGCACCA